AAGCAUGAGAAGACCCGGGACAAGGAAGGCAGCUAUGCCCAAACCUGUGCUGUAUGCUGUCUACUCUCAGAGAACCAUGGAAUUAUCCCUGUAGCAGACUGAAGGGCAGUGAAAUCUACAAGAUGGCCUGCUUGUGCUAUGUGAAAAGGCAGAAAAAUCCAGGAGGCUAACUACUUGGGUGGGUGAAGGAGAAGAAAGGAAGAAAGAAGUCUGUUCAAAUAAAAUUGCAUGCUGAACAUAAAAGCAGGAUUGAUAUUCAUGUGAACAUCAGCACGUAGAACAAACCCACUGAAAUAUAGAAGAAAAGAUCUUUUGGAUACAACUGGACUCACAAUUGUGGCCUACCAAUGGCGGUUUCUGCAGAACAGGAAAGUUUUCCACAACAGAGAAAGAGAAGGAUGUCCCAUCCGGCUACAGGUGGUGGCCACUUCAGUCUCCAUAUGCCCAGCUACUAGCUUACAUAGUGCCGGAAGAUGCUGUGUAGGCUGCUGAGGACAAACAAGGAGGGAAAGAAGAGGAAGAAGAGGAGAGAAUAAGGAUUCCUACAAGAGGCCUGAAGCAAAGUUUGCCAUGUGUAAGUAUUUAGUAAGGGAUAUAAGUCGACAGUAUCAAAAAUUAUUUCUUGUUGGUUCUUUCUACAGAUUUGAGAAAUCACUCAGAUGAGUCAAAGUGAAGGGACCUGUGGCAGUUGAAUGCUCUGCGGAUUCAGACAAGGUUUUAGCUCUAGGAGGAUUUACCAAUUAACUAUAGACUGGCACCAGUGUUACAUGUAUUCCUGCUUAGACCUGCUCCCCUGUAAAAUAUCAUGGAAUAUAAUUACGUGGUUUAAUUGAAUAUAACACCAUUUAACUUGGUGAGUAAUUUUUGCAAUAUGUGUAAUGUUUUCUGUCACUCCCUAUUCUUUUCAAUGCAGCUUAAUUUAGCCCACAGUUUUCUACCACUACAAGCUUCAGAAAUGGGUUUUCCCCAGUCUCCGUGUUUGUGCUUAAUUGCAACUUCAUGUCUUUGAGAAAGGAAGAGAAAUGGAGAAAGGAGGGGGGAGGUUGAGUAGGAGGGACCACAAUACAUAUUACCAUUACUAUUGUGUAUAACUUUUGUUUUUAACUUUUGGUAAUUAAACUCGAUAAAGAUUAUAUGAAUGUAUACUCUAGAGCAGAAAAAGCAACCAGUGAAGAGAGAAAAAAGAAUAAAAAGAAAACUCAUAAAGACCUCUAGAUUUAGCCAGUUGUCCUAAGUCUUUAGGUUCUUAUUGGCAAGGAGGCGGGGCCAACGGGUCCUGUAUCAGUUGAGUAGGAAAACUCCUAAAUAAAAGUAACGAAAUGAUCAAGAAUAAAAGUACAACUUGAAUUAGUGUUUCAGCUUACAUUUAAUUCCCUUGUUACAGACAGCUUCUCUUAUUGAGGUUUAAAGACCUGCAAAAUGAUGCUUUGUGUUUUCUUCACAGUCAGUAGUCAGUGACAGAAAGUCCAACAAACUAGAACAGAACAAGUUCUUAACUUUUAGUGGGAAAUUCCAUCCUUUCCUUAAUUUUGAGGAGUACUGAACAUCCAUAUUUAUUCAAGUUUAGAUAAAGGAAUCCAUAAUAAAACUGAACAUGAUAAGACUGUAUCAUUUAACUUGGUAAUUAAAAAGCAAACCUCCUCAUAGCCAAACUACAAAAUCAAUAGACAAGUCUUUUUUUUUUAUCUAUUCAAUGUGACUGGUAGAUCCUUGUCAUUUUAUAAUUUGUAAAGAGCUUUACAGUUUAUAAAGACCUUCUUGUCUGAGAAAGACUAAGAGAUAGUCUGACUAUGACACAUCAUAAAUACCAGGGAAGAGAAUUAGAUAAAGCUUUUGGAAUAUGAGUUGAGGAGCAAUUACACAACGAUUGUUGAAAAUACUAGAAAUAAGCAAGCCAAAUCUAGAGUAAUUAGUUGUAGUCCACAUUAAAGCUACAGAUCGACAGCUAUGGUCAAGAUCAAGACGGAAGAAACACAGAGUGAUGUUAGGGUCAAGGAAAUUAAACG